rnacentral:rRNA from 1 species
AGAAUCAACGCUGGCGGCGUGCCUAACACAUGCAAGUCGAACGAGAAAGUGGAGCAAUCCAUGAGUAAAGUGGCGACCGGGUGAGUAACACGUGACUAACCUACCUUCGAGUGGGGGAUAACAUCGGGAAACCGAUGCUAAUACCGCAUAACAUCGCAAGAUCAAAGCAGCAAUGCGCUGGAAGAGGGGGUCGCGGCUGAUUAGCUAGUUGGCGGGGUAACGCCCACCAAGGCGAAGAUCGGUAGCCGGCCUGAGAGGGCGCACGGCCACACUGGAACUGAAACACGGUCCAGACUCCUACGGGAGGCAGCAGUGGGGAAUUUUGCGCAAUGGGGGAAACCCUGACGCAGCAACGCCGCGUGGAGGAUGAAGCCCCUUGGGGUGUAAACUCCUUUCGACCCAAGACGAUAAUGACGGUACUGGUGGAAGAAGCACCGGCUAACUCUGCGCCAGCAGCCGC